UCCAAGAUGUUUACUUGAGAAUAUUUGAACUUCCUCUUUUGAGGAUAUCUGUAUGCCUGUCCACUAGACCACCUUGGUCGUGGUUUCCAGAAUCAUAAUAUUCUAGUAGAAAUAAUGCACAAAAGACACUUUACUUCGAUAAUGGCCCAUACAAAGUCAUUGUGAAGGUAGUUGGUUCAUACAGUUAUAAAUGCUAAAGAUGGUGGUUCACAGAAUUUUAAAUGGCCGAGGGAGUGAGAAGCAAAACACAUUUUUUGCGUAAAGGCAACAACGUCAUGUUUGUCAACGGAUUGUGGGCCAUGUUAAAUAAUAUCAUAAGUUCAGAACUCUUGAAGUGUUUGAAAAAAGUUGACUUUGGUUGAGCAUGCCAUAUAUUGUUGCAUGCUUUCAUCUUGAUGUGCUUUUGAGUUUUGCCAAGUGGAUCUCAAACCAUAGAAGGUACGUAUGCAACUGAAGUAUCAUGUUUCAUGUUGGGAAAUCUGGAAGAUGCUAGAGCUACGUCCAAUGUUUGACAGUUGACACGGAUCAGAUGGCAAGGAAUGUGUCCAUGUGAAUGUCCAAUUGACAUCUACUUUCCCGUAGUCUAAAAUCAAGUCACUAGGUGUUAGUUAGCAACGUAUGCUUGAAACCCAUUAACCUUUGUUAUCGAUUAUUGCAAAUUGUAUCGUAUCAAUGUGAGUUAAGUCAA